UCGGACUGGCUCGGAGAGGUUGGCAACGACCACUCCGAGCCGGAAAGUUCGUCAAACUCGGUCAUUUAGAGGAAGUAAAAGUCGUAACAAGGUU
rnacentral:rRNA from 1 species